rnacentral:rRNA from 1 species
UUGCACGCUGGCGGCAUGCUUAACACAUGCACGUCGAACGGCAGCACGGACUGUAGCAAUACAGUUGGGUGGCGAGUGGCGGACGGGUGAGUAACGCGUAGGAAUCUGCCCAGAAGAGGGGGGUAACUCGAGGAAACUCGAGCUAAUACCGCAUAAUACCUGAGGGUUAAAGUUAGCUCGUAAGAGCUGACGCUUCUGGAGGAGCCUGCGUCUGAUUAGCUAGUUGGUGGGGUAAAGCCUACCAAGGCGACGAUCAGUAGGUGGUCUGAGAGGAUGAUCACCCACACUGGGACUGAGACACGGCCCAGACUCCUACGGGAGGCAGCAGUGGGGAAUAUUGGACAAUGGGGGCAACCCUGAUCCAGCAAUGCCGCGUGUGUGAAGAAGGCCUUCGGGUUGUAAAGCACUUUAGUUUGGGAAGAAGGUUAGGAGAUUAAGAGUCACCUAAUUUGACGGUACCAAAAGAAUAAGCACCGGCUAACUCUGUG